UACGGGAGGCAGCAGUGGGGAAUCUUGCACAAUGGAGGAAACUCUGAUGCAGCGAUGCCGCGUGAGUGAAGAAGGCCUUUGGGUUGUAAAGCUCUUUCGUCGGGGAAGAAAAUGACUGUACCCGAAUAAGAAGGUCCGGCUAACUUCGUGCCAGCAGCCGCGGUAAUACGAAGGGACCUAGCGUAGUUCGGAAUUACUGGGCUUAAAGAGUUCGUAGGUGGUUGAAAAAGUUGGUGGUGAAAUCCCAGAGCUUAACUCUGGAACUGCCAUCAAAACUUUUCAGCUAGAGUAUGAUAGAGGAAAGCAGAAUUUCUAGUGUAGAGGUGAAAUUCGUAGAUAUUAGAAAGAAUACCAAUUGCGAAGGCAGCUUUCUGGAUCAUUACUGACACUGAGGAACGAAAGCAUGGGUAGCGAAGAGGAUUAGAUACCCUCGUAGUCCAUGCCGUAAACGAUGUGUGUUAGACGUUGGAAAUUUAUUUUCAGUGUCGCAGCGAAAGCGAUAAACACACCGCCUGGGGAGUACGACCGCAAGGUUAAAACUCAAAUGAAUUGACGGGGACCCGCACAAGUAGUGGAGCAUGUGGUUUAAUUCGAAGAUACGCGCAGAACCUUACCAACACUUGACAUGUUCGUCGCGACUUUAAGAGAUUAAAGUUUUCGGUUCGGCCGGACGAAACACAGGUGCUGCAUGGCUGUCGUCAGCUCGUGUCGUGAGAUGUUGGGUUAAGUCCCGCAACGAGCGCAACCCUCACUUUUAGUUGCCAUCAUUAAGUUGAGCACUCUGAAAGAACUGCCAGUGAUAAGCUGGAGGAA
rnacentral:rRNA from 1 species